rnacentral:miRNA from 1 species
CGGGGCCGGGUCCGGCGGG